rnacentral:lncRNA from 10 species
UUCUGCACAUGCACAGAAUCUGGGCCCAGGUGACUUAUGGAACCUUUAUAGAGACCACGGUGACUGACACUCAUGGGAAAGGGGGUAGAGGGGCAAGAACUGACUGUUCAUCAAAAAUUAUUAGAUGAGUGUGUCCACGACACCAGGAGAUAUGUUGAAUCAUGGACAGGGACCAGCAUAUCCACUAAGCUCUAUAUAUCUUGAUGGUGCAGGAUCCAAGUGGGAUGGAACAACCAAUUCCUGCCCAUCCUCCUGCUCAAUAAUACAUGUGCUCAGAAUCUGUUCAUAAUGCAUGGUGAGACGGGAUCUCACUGUGUUGCCCAGGCUGGUCUCGAACUGCUGGACUCAAGUCAUCCUCCCAUCUUGGCCUCCCAAAGUGCUGGAAUUACAGUGGACAACCUUCAAUGCACUGGUACUUUGUACCCUGACCUCUACUGUGAUGAACACUCAACUUGGGCAAGGAAGUGAAAUUCUCCAAAGUGGGUUCUGACCCAAUCAGCAGCCUUUGCUUCUCAGAUUCCUCUCAAGGCUUUAUGACUCUUCUCACCCCAGGAAACCCUACAACACGCACGGCCUUUCAGAACUGCUACAUGGAAUGGACAUUCCUCUGGGCUCCAGCUGAAUGUUUGUAAAUAAAAUAAUGACUGCGUGUCCUUAUUUUUGCUGAGUACACAG